rnacentral:lncRNA from 1 species
GGGGAAACUGCCUCCAUGAUCCAAUCACCUCCCACCUGGUCCUUCCCUCGACAUGUGGGGAUUACAACUCUAGAUGAGAUUUGGGUGGGGACUGCUUUUACUACCUAAAGAAGAUGGUCAGACUAUAAAAAUGUGUUUUGGUUCUAUGACAAUACUAUGUAGAACAAGGCCCAAAUGUGAACACUUAAAUUCAUUAACUGAAUAUUUAUUUUAUUACAGCUAGAGCAGUUUUUCAAUUUUCAUGAUUUCUAUGCCAAAACAUAUCUGAACACUAUGCAAAUAUGAAAUAGUCU